GUGCAGCAGGCGAGAAAACUUCACACUGUGCGAAAGCACGAUGAGGGAAUCCCAAGUGCUUGCACGUAAGUGUAAGCUGUUUCUCUGUCUAAAACGCAGAGAGAGUAAGGGCUGGGUAAGACGGGUGCCAGCCGCCGCGGUAAUACCUGCAGCUCAAGUGGUGACCGUUAUUAUUGGGCCUAAAACGUCCGUAGCCGGUUUAAUAAAUGCCUGGGUAAAUUGUGUAGCUUAACUAUACGAAUUCCGGGUAGACUGUUAAACUUGAGACCGGGAGAAGUUAGAGGUACUCCUGGGGUAGAGGUGAAAUUCUGUAAUCCUAGGGGGACCACCAGCGGCGAAGGCGUCUAACUAGAACGGGUCUGACGGUGAGGGACGAAGCCCUGGGGCGCAAACGGGAUUA
rnacentral:rRNA from 1 species